GAGAAAGAAGAAAAAAAAGGGAGGAAGAAAGGAAAUCGCAGCCAUACGGGCUACGCUCCCCCGGCUGAACUGUAUCUGCAUUUGAACGGUGGGAGAAGAAAGACGCUAUAUGGCGCUGUGCUCCUCCCUCCACCCUGCCAGCCUCAUCUGUCAGCCAUUAGUUAAUCAGGGCUGGUAACACAGAGCACAGAGAGCUGGCACGGCUCGUGGGACCAGAGGACAGCUUCACCUCUGAGAGCAAGAAGAGGGCAAGGACUCAGGGACCUCGGCUUCACCGAUCCACAGCUGGGCUGCUUCACUCACCAGCACCCACUCAGGACCUGCAGGCAGCAACUUCAAGAAGACCCCACCCAUUGCUCCACUGCGAACAGGUAAGCCAAUAAGACACAUGGAAACAUUCAGGCAUCCAAGCUAGAGUUUUAAUAACUGUCACUCAGCCAAUGUGGCAAUCAAAGCAGCUGAUACUGUACAAAACUGCACAUGAAGGUGAAUUCCACAAAUCCAACUAAGCCUUUUGGCUCAGAUCAAAACCGCUUUGUGCGUAAAGGUGCCUUCAUUUGAUCGCUGACGAUCAGUCUGCCCUGAAGCAGUGCAUGAAAACAUUUAUUAGUGUGGGAACUAUAAUUACACUAUAAAAGUCUUUUUGUUUGGCGAUAGAAGCCAAAUCGACUGUUAUGAAAACAAACACUGGUUUAUGUCGGGGCUUUAGAAAUGAAAAAUACCCUCAUAAACAUCAUAAUGCACAUUUUUUUUUCCCAGCGUCAGAUUUUGCCAGAUUAGUGAUAGAGAUAUUUGUUUGACAUGCUGGCUUAUCCCUAAAUUUUGGCUUGUUUCCCAGCUGUUAUGAUGAUGCACUGCAAAAGAAGGAAUUAAAGCGAAGGCUCUUUUAGACCACCAAGUUUUUUGUUCUAUUUUUCCUAUAUUUAGCGGUUCUAAGUGAGACCAUAUCUCAAAAUGUGAGAGCCAAGGUCGAAUUCCAAUCACAUUGCAGCAUGUUCGCAAUGCAAGAGGAUGGUAAUACCAAGCAUAUGGUAACUGUAGUUCCAUAGACUCUUCAAAGGAGCUCAGUGUUGACCCGGAGCAAGAACAAACUUGCAAGUGCAGGCUGUGAAGGGAGUGUAGAAUUAUACCCUGGGCUACAUGUUGUCAAGGCCGUGAGAUACAGAAUCUUCAACUAAAGCUAAAUGCUCUAUUGGACCAAUCACGUUCCAAGCACAAAGUCUUCAUUUAUCUGCACACCAAAUCAAGCAAGGAGCAAGCAGUAAUAGUUGGGAACUGAAUGCACUCUAAGAUAGCGUCAUGUCCUUUCUCAAAGCUUCAUCAGUAUCACCGUGUUCUCUGCUGCUUAGAUUAAAUCGCAAAUCGCAGGAAGAAGGAGGUGAGCGCGAGGAAGAUAAAGGGUCAAAGAACAUUCGGGCUGCUUCUCUGUUCAUGGUCUUGUUUUGCAGGGAGGUUUCAAAGACAGAAGUCAAAACAACACAUGUUGUCAACAUGUGAACAGCUGGUAAGAGCGGCGUCAUGGGGCAGAGGAAUGCCAAGAGUCAUAGAUCUCUUAUCCAUCAGGCCAGAACAGCCUCCCAGGCUUGUUUGAAACCACACACAGGAGCAGUGGGAAAUCCUAACAUUUAUAUAUCCAACACAUCUAACGCUAACCUUAACCAACCUCGGGCAUUAAGCAACCUCUUUGAACUAUAGAAAUAACGUGAUGAAUUCAAAGUACAUGCAAAUAAAUCCACAUACAAAAUAUAGAUGCAAUGAUCAGUUUCAGAUGUGAGAAGUUGAUUUCGCCAUAUUAUUCAUCCCACGAUGGAACUUGAUUGUAAGAUGUGGAAAUCAUUUCCUGCCUCUGUCAACGCAAACCCUGACAGACAGUCACUUCCGAUUGGCUGAAACUAAACGGCACAUGCUUCCUGAGGUCUGACUUUGUCAUCUUUAGAGAGUUAAAUAAACAACCGGUUGAGUCGGCAUAUACACUUUCUUCAACAUGGUUUCCUUUUUAAGUCAACGCCACUCAGAAAAGAUACACCAAGCAACCAUAAGUCAAAAAGAAAUGACAAAACAGCCGAGUUUUUCCGCCUGUCUAAACAUUCCACUGAGAGCUUUUUCCAUUACUGUGUUUUACUGAAACAUGCAGGCCUGCUCAGCACUCUGCUGCAGAUGUGGCAAAUGAGGAAUAACUACAGAAACGAUAGAAAAAAGGAAAUUCUUGAUGACAGACCUUGAAAAAUACAAACAGCAGACCAGCCGUAAAGUUAUAAGUGGUGACCUUUGACACAGGACGUUCAAGUCUAACUCCCUCUUCCUGCUAAAUGCUACCCAGCUGUUUUUCUAAUCUGUCACAGCUUCCAGCUCGACACGGCUUGCAUACAGGGUGUAAGUAUGGAAAAGAUAAAAAGUGGAAGAUCCUGACCUUUACAUUUAGAUUUAUGAGAGAAAAAAACAUGAAAACAUAAAGUAAUGCAAAAGAAAUAAGUUAACAACAGGCACUGACUGGCAUACUGGAAACCAGUGGCCAUGAUGAACCAUUAGAAACAGACCUGACAGGUAGCUAACUCGCACUCACAUAGUACGAUACACCUACAACUAAAUCUGCAGCCCUCUUCGGUCUCGCUAAAAUAUCACACAGUCGUGUAUGUGCCAGUUUGAAUGACGGACUAUUAGCUAGUGGGUUAGAACACCCAAUCCAUCACUGUCGCUUGCAGAAGAGGGGGAAAAAAGCUCUUUGACAGAGACGUCGAGUCCCACAAACUCACUCCGUCAACUUGAUAGUAUUGACAGGCCCAAACAGGACCAGGCCCCAACAAGUCUGACGCGGGAGCCUCGUGUGAGGACGCUGAAGUGGAGCCUAAGAAGCGACUCCUAGAGGCUUAGAAGCACUUUCUAAUGCUUGAGCGACGAGCUGAGGGAAAGCAGGUGCUCUCUGUGUGUGUCAAAGUGAGGCGUCGCCGAUCGUUCGAUGAGCCCGGCGUAGACCGGCCUAAACGCUUCCAGACUUUCAUGCCCUGUCUCCUCUCAUUUCGUCUCACUGCAUCUGCUCCCAACUUGGAUCACCCACAAAAUAACAUCUACCCUGACUAGAUGGGCUCCUUUCUUAAUCUCUCCCAAUGACGUGAAAAAACCUCGCUGUGGCUCAGAGUCUUCCUCCUCCAAAUGGGAUGUUGCUCUUUUAACCGCUCUCUAACAUACGACAAAUUGUGAGGAUGUUUGUGCGAGCGCUGGCAAAGGAAGCGAUGUGCAAUAAGUUAAACUUCUCUUUUUAUCCAACUGCUUGACCUGAAAGAGACUUCCAUUCCUAAUGUGAACGCCAUGCUGUGAUCCAAAUAUUUUGAAUCUUCAGAUAACAUCUCACAGCAUCUGGUUUUCUGCCUCCCAAGUCUUAACGCUUUGCCAAAAUCUGUAGGCCACGGUGCUUGACUUCUAACCAGCAAAUCAUCAACUGACCUAUUUUGCUUUCUCUCAAAGGCCGAAAUGAAACAUUAUCUCCCGACUCAGAUUUAAAUUAAAGCCAUGACAAGAACCAUGCCUGUGAGGACCGGGGGUGGGGGACGUUCCAGCCGCCGGUUCGAUCGCUCACACUCGACUGGCGCAUGGGCAGGAUCAGGAAACACAAGCCCAGUGAUGUCACGACCGGCUGACCCCAGGGUGACAGGUUUGGAGAGUAAUCAUGCCCAAUGCCCUCGGGCCAAAGUCAAGUAUGUCAGUGUUGUGCAUGUGGAUUUCAUUUGAAGUAUGAUUAGUUCACAGACGAUCCCCCUCCAUGGGAAACCCGCUCUCCACAGGAAACGGUGUGUUUUUGUUAGCAACAAACAGCAUAAAUUACCAAAAACGGUGCCUUGGUUGCUAAUUUAUCACACACAGUCUUAGUGUUGCUGCUUUUGACGGCGACACUGCUUUUACGGCAAUCGCCAUUAGUUAAUGACAUUCACAUCCCUGAUCGUUUAUGUUGAACUUCAUGUCUGCAAUCCUAAAUUUGUGCAAUAAAUGUGAUAAUUGUU